rnacentral:ncRNA from 1 species
CCCUUUAACACCAAUGAUAGAUGUCCACAUCAACGGGGAGGUUUGGCACCUCGAUGUUGGCUCUUCGCCACGUGGAGUUGUAGGUGGUUCCAAUGGUUGGGUUGUUCACCCCUUAAUGCGGUACGUGAGCUGGGUUUAGAAUGUUGUGACACAGUUC